CUAACAAACAAGAUGACCAACAGCCACAAAUGGACAUUAUGACUUGAAUACUUAAUCUCCAUGAUAGAAAGAAGAAGACGUCAGAUAACAGGAGAGUAAGGAGUCUGGGGAUUGGAUGUGGUGAUGUGACGCCAGCCAAGUGGAGAUCAAGGGACCAGUGGGAGGAUGAUGGGAAAUGAAGCAACUAUUUGUCAGCUUUCCUCUUCAGUUUUAAAAGAAACAUUCCUCCAAUCCAGUCCAGUCCCAGACAGCAAACCAGUAUUUCUAAACUGGAGUACUAUUCUGCCCCAGCCUCUGCAGGAAAUAAAAAGUAGUACAUCCAUACCGAGCAAGAGAAACAGAUAAAGAAGACCAGGGAAGGUGUUUCCAAAGGAGGGAUUCCCUUCAUCAUAAUGCUGACAUGUGUUACUGUUUCACAACCUCUGGGAGUCCUGGCAGAGAUGCCAUGCACAGGUCAUAGACGGUCAAAUCCAAGAUGGAGGAAUGUGAUGACAGCCGUUUUUAUUGCUCAUUUCUUUGGAUGCAUGAUGGGGAUUUUAGAGCCUCUUCUAAAAGGAAUAAAGCCUGAAAAAAAUCUGUUGGCAGGCUUUAAGUAUAGACAUUUUGCGUCAAGAAAGGAGUUCAUUGGUGAAAGGUGCAAAGUAGGACACGUAUAGUGAUGUCAUGAAGGGGACUGUGGCGGUCUGCUCUCUGGCAGGUGCAAGCGGUGGAUGCUUGUGAAACUAAAC